UACGAAGGGUGCUAGCGUUGCUCGGAAUGACUGGGCGUAAAGGGCGCGUAGGCGGAUGGUACAGUCAGAUGUGAAAUUCCUGGGCUCAACCUGGGGGCUGCAUUUGAUACGUGCUGUCUUGAGUUCGGAAGAGGGUCGUGGAAUUCCCAGUGUAGAGGUGAAAUUCGUAGAUAUUGGGAAGAACACCGGUGGCGAAGGCGGCGACCUGGUCCGAUACUGACGCUGAGGCGCGAAAGCGUGGGGAGCAAACAGG
rnacentral:rRNA from 1 species